CCAGGUCGGAUGAUGAUCACAAGUGCAUAGUUCAUACGAUCAAAUUGUGAUUACUUGAACAAAAGAUAGUCUUUUGCUCCUAUUUGAUUACCUUU
rnacentral:snoRNA from 3 species